UACGUAGGGGGCAAGCGUUGUCCGGAAUCAUUGGGCGUAAAGAGCGUGUAGGCGGUCCGGUUAGUCGGCUGUGAAAGUCAAGGGCUCGAACCCCGGCCUGCAGCCGAUACGGGCAGACUAGAGUUCGGCAGGGGAGACUGGAAUUCCUGGUGUAGCGGUGAAAUGCGCAGAUAUCAGGAGGAACACCGGUGGCGAAGGCGGGUCUCUGGGCCGAUGACUGACGCUGAGGAGCGAAAGCGUGGGGAGCGAACAG
rnacentral:rRNA from 1 species